CCGGGGUGGAGUAACGCGUGGGUAACCGUGCCUCAUACAGGGGGAUAACGAUUGGAAACGAUUGCUAAUACCGCAUAAGCGCACAGUACCACAUGGUACAGUGUGAAAAACUCCGGUGGUAUGAGAUGGACCCGCGUCUGAUUAGCUAGUUGGUGAGGUAACGGCCCACCAAGGCAACGAUCAGUAGCCGACCUGAGAGGGUGACCGGCCACAUUGGGACUGAGACACGGCCCAG
rnacentral:rRNA from 1 species